GCGCGAUGUGUCUCAGGAAACUGUUAAGACCAAGCAUGAGGAUAUCUUGGCAAGCAUUUUGAACAAGGCCCUAAUUCCAGCAGGCUUAGCUCUUUCGAACCAGUUUAAAUUGGGACAAAUGACAAUAUUUCAUUUGAUAAAUGCCAUAAAAACAGCCUGUGCCUGCGAUUCAUGACCUAGGACGCGUUAACGCUGUAGGUGAAGUGUUGUAAAACUAAAGGAUCUCUGUAACAGUAUACUUUUCAGGCAUAUUAUGCUUUGCUCGACUUACACACGCUACAUAUUGCAGUUUGCUAUUUUAGGAUGGCUUAGUAUGGAAUUGUGACCGGUUACUUUUGCAAGCACACAAACUCGUCCGUCGCAACUGGUCAAUCCACAACUGACGAAAGAGAUAUGACUCAAGGAAGCAGAAGAGCUGUUUUCCUCCCCAGGCAUCUGCCUCAAUCGUUGUAUUUCUGUAACAGUAUGCCAUUAACCCUAUCAGGGACAGCACUUACGACAGUGGACAUCUUAUCGGGUUACAGGUUAGCAUUACUAGUGCAUGAAAGGGUUAGACGUUAGCGGGUGCUUUCCAUC